rnacentral:rRNA from 1 species
CGGGGAGGUAGUGACGAAAAAUAACGAUACGGGACUCAUCCGAGGCCCCGUAAUCGGAAUGAGUACACUUUAAAUCCUUUAACGAGGACCAAUUGGAGGGCAAGUCUGGUGCCAGCAGCCGCGGUAAUUCCAGCUCCAAUAGCGUAUAUUAAAGUUGUUGCGGUUAAAAAGCUCGUAGUUGAAUCUGUGUGUCACAGUGUCGGUUCACCGCUCGCGGUGUUUAACUGGCAUUAUGUGGUACGUCCUACCGGUGGGCUUAGCUCCAUGCGGGGCGGUCCAACUAAUAUCCCAUCGCGGUGCUCUUCGCUGAGUGUCGAGGUGGGCCGGUACGUUUACUUUGAACAAAUUAGAGUGCUCAAAGCAGGCUACCUUCGCCUGAAUACUAUGUGCAUGGAAUAAUGGAAUAGGACCUCGGUUCUAUUUUGUUGGUUUUCGGAACCCCGAGGUAAUGAUUAAUAGGGACAGAUGGGGGCAUUCGUAUUGCGACGUUAGAGGUGAAAUUCUUGGAUCGUCGCAAGACGGACAGAAGCGAAAGCAUUUGCCAAAAAUGUUUUCAUUAAUCAAGAACGAAAGUUAGAGGUUCGAAGGCGAUCAGAUACCGCCCUAGUUCUAACCAUAAACGAUGCCAGCUAGCGAUCCGCCGAAGUUCCUCCGAUGACUCGGCGGGCAGCUUCCGGGAAACCAAAGCUUUUGGGUUCCGGGGGAAGUAUGGUUGCAAAGCUGAAACUUAAAGGAAUUGACGGAAGGGCACCACCAGGAGUGGAGCCUGCGGCUUAAUUUGACUC